rnacentral:misc_RNA from 1 species
CAGAACCCGAAGAAAGAAAAGGGCAAAACAAAAAAUACAAAACCUUGGUCUGUUACUGUGCCUGGUGCAUGCACGUCUGGUCUCUUGAUCAUGACUCGUGAGGGUCUCUUUGCAUGUCGGUUCUGUGAUCUCAGUGAUUCUUGUUGAGGAUUUGAGAGGGAGAUUGCGAGAAAGACGGGGGAAAAGUGUGUCCUUUGGUUUUUCUUUUUCUUCUUCCCUUUGGUUUCUCGCCUGUGCUUAGAAAUGGAGCUUAGAACGCUAUAGCACGAACAGAGAGGGAGGUACUUCAUGGAUCCUAUUGUUGUCUUUCUCAUUUCUGGGUUUAAUAAAGAUG